GGAUAAUGUCAUUAGUCUGCUGUUUUCAGUGAUAAGCACUAUAUGGAACUUUAUUCGUGUCUAUGAGAUUAUGUAUUAUUUCUCUAUCUGUUUCAUGAAGGUACUGUUUUGUAUGUUUUCUGAAUGAUAUUACUGAUGUUGAGUCUUUGAUUUUCCUAGGGAUGUUGUUAAAUAUUCGUGUGCUAAGAUAAGUAUAUCUUCUCUGCCCAAUAGUUUUGGAUGAAUAUUCCGUGCGCACCAUGUUUUCUUUUUUUGCCCUGGUACUGUAGUUGUGGUCAAUAUUCUUUAGGCUACUUUUGUUUUUGAAUUGAUCUAUCGCUAUACGUAGGAAGUAGAUUUGUCUGAGGUCUAAUAUUUUACUCUCAGAAUAAAGCAAGGUCGAUGAAUACGUUCGAGAUUUAUUGAAACAAAUCUUCAGGAAUUUUUUCUGUAAAAUAUCCAGAUGAGAUAAGUAACUGCUGGCAACACCUCCCCAACCUAGGAUUCCAUACGAUAAUCUAGACUCGACCAAUGCAUGGUACAGGAUUUUCAUUUGGUGAUUGAAAUCGGGGAGAUGAGAUGAGUAACAAGAAAAAGGUUUUUCCAGGAUGUGUCUUCAUAGAAUAUUGCCGUGUCAUCCGCAAAACUAAUGAUUUCUCCAUUGGUCUGUGAG